rnacentral:rRNA from 1 species
GACGAAGGGGGCAAGCGUUGUUCGGAAUUACUGGGCGUAAAGGGCGCGUAGGCGGUUCUUUAAGUCAGGCGUGAAAGCCCUGGGCUCAACCUGGGAGUGGCGCUUGAUACUGGAGGACUAGAGAGUGGGAGAGGUUGGUGGAAUUCCCAGUGUAGAGGUGAAAUUCGUAGAUAUUGGGAAGAACACCGGUGGCGAAGGCGGCCAACUGGACCAUUUCUGACGCUGAGGCGCGAAAGCGUGGGGAGCAAACAGGAUUAGAUACCCUGGUAGUCCACGCUGUAAACGAUGAGUGCUGGACGUUGCGGAGCUUGCUCUGCGGUGUCGUAGCUAACGCGCUAAGCACUCCGCCUGGGGAGUACGGCCGCAAGGUUGAA